GCAAUCAAAUGCACUCUUGUUCUCAUUUCACACGAAUAUUUCGUUUUGUGUGUUCGAAAAUGUUGGAAAAAAUCAUCUAGAUUUUAGUAUUAGUUUUUUAUUUUCAACAUUUUUGAAAACCACCAAUCCACCAUCAAUUGCUCUACAUUGUAAAUAGCAAGCGUUGAUCUGCACCAUCUCUUCUUGUUUUCUUUUUCAUUUUUACUCUUUGACUUAGAAACGUGUACAGUACGGGGUUGAUCACAUUUUCGUGCUGGAAAUGCGCUGAAUUUGUGACCAACUGCGACCUAAUUUGCGUGUACAAAUGCCCAUCCGCCCCCUCAACUCUAAAAUGCAUUGCUGGUGUUGUUGUUACUACGAGAUCCCCAAAUUUAAACAGAAUGCUGGAAAUACGCUGUUUUCCCAUCCACUCAUUGUUGACCCGAUUUGUUGUUGAUCUGAAGAGUUUUUUAUUCUUUGCAUUGACAUCAAUUUCUGUUAUUUUUUUUGUAUUUAUCAUCUUUUUAUCAUCUUCUUUGCCUACUCCCGAAUCCCCUGUAACAUCAUCACCACAUACUUUUUUCUAAGAUCUGACAAUCAUUCACAUUAGAUUUUCAGCAGUUUUCAAGAUUUUUCUAGUUGCCACUGCUGAAAAUUUUUCUUGCAACCACGUUGCACCCUUUUUCCACAUACUCCCCACCCUCUAAGACCUGUAAAACACGUGUACAAAAUCAGAGAUAAUGUCGAGUUUCCCAGUGACUAGUUGAGCUCUUUUGAUUCUCAGAUCCUGAAAUUCCUGAAAAAGUUUUCAAUUCUGAAAGUCGAGAGCUCUCCGAGCACUGCUCCCUAUCGGUGUACAUACCCGCCUUUUAGUCGGAAAAUUGUUGAUUUGUGAAAAGAGUACUGUAGGAGAUUUUUCUCUCGGCAGUUCUCCUUUUAUUACCUUCCAUCCAUCCCGAGGAUCGUUUGCAAAGCGUGUUUGACAUCCAGUCUCCCAACUUUUUCUCUGAUUCUCCUCCAUUUGUUGUACAUUUUGCUUUUAGUUUCUAACGCCUAAUUCCAACAUCGGCCCCCAGUUUCUUUUCGUUUAGUAGAAUUGACGGCUAAACUUUGGUUUACCAUUCAGAAGUCACCUUUAAAAUCAUGGUUUUGUCUGUCAUAUUAGGCCCUCUAGGCUCAGAAUACUCAGAAUAAGAUUAGGAAAAAACCCCAAAAAAAUGAAGUAGUUUUUGUAGUUUGUCUUCAUCACGGUUUGGAAUAGCCAAACCCAUCCCAAACCAGUCUUGCAAAACAUCUAGCUUGACUUAACUCCCGAGAACCCCACAGAAAGAAGCCCGUGUACCCCCAACCGUCCCACUCAAUUGUUGUACGAUCUCUUGUGCUGAAAAUGUCGAAAAUGUUGGUGAAAGCUAACUUUUUUCGAUUUUUCCGGUUUGUCACAAAAAUCCUUCCCCGCCUAUCUCGUUGCUGGAGAAUACACACACACGGGCCUGGUUUUGGUUUCCUUCUUCUCCCAAAUUUCCCAACAAAAUUUUUCUUAAUUAACGGAAUCCCGAAAUCACUUUAAUUUUUAUAUGGAGUUCACGCUCUAUCUCUUCUCGAUACCAUUUUCCCCCACGUUCUUCCUGUCCUUUCUUCUUCAUAACUUAUUUUCUUUGUCUCCCACUUUCUCUCUUGUAGUAAAUUAAUAUCCCUUUCUUCUGUUCUGCUCUGAAAUUCUAAUGUUAUAUUUAUUUUUUAUAGAAAUGCUUCACGAAGUUCGGAAAGAAUGAUAAUGGUUUCGAAUGGAGAAUAAACUGUGAAUAAUAUAUU
rnacentral:sRNA from 1 species